rnacentral:rRNA from 1 species
UACGUAGGAUGCAAGCGUUGUCCGGAUUUACUGGGCGUAAAGCGCGCGCAGGCGGCAAGGUAAGUAGGGUGUGAAAUAUCCCGGCUCAACCGGGAGGGUGCACUUUAGACUGCUUUGCUUGAGGUCGGUAGAGGGGGGUGGAAUUGCUGGUGUAGCGGUGAAAUGCGUAGAGAUCAGCAGGAACACCCGUGGCGAAGGCGGCCCCCUGGGCCGUACCUGACGCUGAGGCGCGAAGGCUAGGGGAGCGAACGGG